rnacentral:rRNA from 1 species
GAGUUUGAUCGUGGCUCAGAAUCAACGCUGGCGGCGUGCCUAACACAUGCAAGUCGAACGAGAAAGUGGAGCAAUCCAUGAGUACAGUGGCGCACGGGUGAGUAACACGUGACUAACCUACCCUGGAGUGGGGGAUAACUGAGGGAAACCUUAGCUAAUACCGCAUAAUACCUACGGGUCAAAGGAGCAAUUCGCUUCAGGAGGGGGUCGCGGCCGAUUAGUUAGUUGGCGGGGUAAUGGCCCACCAAGACGAGUGAUCGGUAGUCCGGCCUGAGGAGGGCGCACGGACACAC